UACUGCUCGAACGGUCGAAGAGUUGCCUCGGGCCAACGGUGACCCGUCGAAACGAAGGCAGCGUCAUAAGAUUGGGAAAACAGUAAGCAAAACGAAACGAACCUUUUAGAGACGGUAGGAUUUUUACUAUUCAGCUAUUGCUGCUACUGCUGCUGUGGCUGUAGUCUGCUGUACUGUAUAUGAUCUUGCUAAGAUGGGCGGAAAUGGGCACGUAACGAAACAGCGAACUUAGGAAUGCCGACGGCUAGAAGCAUCUUUUUAGUAUGGAUACCCUUAUCGAUGCGAAGACCGGACCGCCAGAAAGUUUAAAACAGCUCGCGAGCUAGCAUGACGUGAUGACGUUGUUUGAAGAAAAGCGCCUUUCCCGACCUAAAAUCGAAAUUGCCGACCACGUUAAACGUCGAACUUAAGCUGGGUCGUGGUCAGCGAUUUAUCGUGACCUUCAUCGCAGACGUAGCGACCACCCACGGAACCGUAAAGCAAGACGAAAAACACUGAACGAGCGACAAGGUCAAUUGCUCAGUGAUGGCGACGAUCCCGUAUAAAAACCACACCAGGCCGGGCUGCCAACGCUAAUGAAGCUAGCGUUACACGAAUAACUAGUCACCUAUUCAUUAACUAAUGACAUAGUAUCUGCGUUUCGUCUGUACUUCUGAGGUAGCAAGGGAGACAGACGGUCGUUAACAAUAUAGGAAACACUGAAUAGCUGCGAAGAAGGUUUGUCCCAUUCGUUGCGCGCACUUCACUGAAGCAACUCUUUGUUUACGGCGGUUUGCUCGCUGCUCUGGCUGAUACCAAGAUAUUUCUUACUGGAGUCGAGAAGCUUUAAAUGGCGAGCUUCCCAAAAAAGGGCGAAAGAUUACCAACUAUCUAUGCACUGUUUACUCGAACCGUACUGAGCUGUUUUCUACUAAUGCCAAAGGAACAUGUACAUGAGCUCAUCAAAACAGAGAAAUCAUGAUCCAGAAGUUGUUCGUCACGGAACAAUGGCGACCUACGCAGCGCCGGCAGCAGCCGCCAAGAAUAUGCGGCAUCUACGUUCGUUCGUUGUGACUACCUCAAACUCUGUGCUACGUGUCUGUCCCCUUCAAACCAUGCAUGAAGUAACAACUCACGUCGCUCCUGCAGUGUGUGUCCUGUGCAGCAGGUCAGGACAGAACAGGACAAGACGGGACAGGAAAACAGACCGUCUAAAAACCCGCAGGUUCGUUGUUUCUACGACGGUCAUGUCAGCAGGGGCGUCAAGAGUAAAUACCUACUCAUGGUAACCAAAGUUCUCACCGCGUAACCUUUGGGCUGUGCUGGGUGGCCACCGCAACUACGAUAGGCACAAUUACAAGAUAGAGAAAGCCAAAGGUAGCCGCAGUAAGAAGCAGAACUUAGUUAGCCACGAAGUGAAUUUUCGGCUUCGUCGAUGAGAACAGAAUGAGAUAACGAUGUAAGAUCAAAGACAUACCGCAUAAAAGUGGGCAACUGUUUCCGAAUUAGAGGGACUCAAAGAGGCAAAUCCUGAAAGGGACGGUCUUUUGUCAAUCACUAAUUUUUACACCGAAGAAUUCCUAAUCCAUGUGCGUAUCACACUCGUGAUAGCCGAUUUUCUGUUACCAUAUUUCUGCUCACGAACUCGUACGUACAACUAUUUGCGAACUCGAAAACUUGAAAUAGUUACGAAGCAAUUUGUAUUGGAGCUCUGUUAAAUAUAUUUCAUAAGUAUAUAUGUCACUAGGAUCUUCUAAAUGUACAUGUAUUUCGGUGAAAACUCAUAUAUCUUUUGUGUGUUCAUCGUCCUUGCUAUUCUAUGACAGUUCUUCAUCUGUAAGCUACUCAACUGAUUGGCAUAAUUUCCUAACAGGUGCUAAAUAGCGUGACAGGGGUUCUAUCAUGAUAAAGUUAUAUAAUGAUAAACAAAGUGACAAUUUAGAAUAAUAAUAAGAAUAAAAAUAUAGAACAAUAGAUGGAAAGGGUAUUAAGCGAACCGAACACCUCUUUCUUCCAGCUUGAACAUAGUAGACGUCUCUGGAUAGACCGUCGUCUGUACUAGGCAGGUAUGCUGAGCAGAUACGGUACGAGCUUGAUGACAUCGGGGGUUCGCUGCAAAAUAUUCUAGAAAGUUCUUGGAAGGAUUAUUACUUGAGGUCGCGUAUUUAUAUAUAUAUAUACAUAAAUUUGUUCCAAGAAAGAUUUGGAUUGCAGUGAUCAGUACAAACUAAGGUGCUCGGUUAUCUUUAAUAUUUUCCAUCCAUAUUGCACAAUCUUAGGAUAACUAUGAUGAUUAACUGUUUCUCCAAAAUGUACAAUAUUAUUUGUCCAAAAUUUUAUCAAGGUGGCCUGAGCCCUACGUUCUUCCCUGCUAACCUUGAAGGCUCUUCUUCCUAGUUUGAUGACUAAAAUUAAAAAGAUUAAAAAUGAAAAUGUCCGAGUUUUAGUGAGCAUUUUCCAAAGCAGAUUACUUAUAUUGGUAAUAAUAAAACAAACCGAAGUAAAUGACGUACUCGAAAGAAAAAAAUUAUCGUUCAUUUUUAAAAACAGUUUGUACCAUCUAACUGGAAUCUCGCUUUCGUUGCAAUACGAGCUAAUAACAGUGGCUUGUAACAGUAAUGAAGCACGUUAAAUACAUUUUGAUGAUCGAAGUUUUUGUCAAUUUAACUUACCAAAUCACAAGGUCUAAAUGCGUCCGCAUCGAGGGAACAUUUGCAUUGGGCACAGCCUCAUCUGCAAACCCGGCUGGUCGAUAAAUGGAAAAUAAAUCGGACUGUUUUAUCAACGCUUCCUUUGGGAGCUUCAUCGGCUUUACGUGCACAGUCACAGCGGGGUCCAACGUAUUGCGUCAUUAUUUUGUUUGAAACGCAACCAGUUUGUUACCAAAUUCAAACCUAAAUUGUUGUAAAUGUCGACUAGCACAACUUAUAUAGCAGGUACACAGCGGUCCGUUGCGAAGAAUACCAUAUAUAUGAAUGGAAUUAGUAUUUAUCUGCAAAAUAUUGA